AUACAUGCAAGUCGAGCGGACCUUUUAAAAGCUUGCUUUUGAAAGGUCAGCGGCGGACGGGUGAGUAACACGUGGGCAACCUGCCUGUAAGACUGGGAUAACUUCGGGAAACCGGAGCUAAUACCGGAUAAUAUAAGGAACCUCCUGGUUCUUUAUUGAAAGAUGGUUUCGGCUAUCACUUACAGAUGGGCCCGCGGCGCAUUAGCUAGUUGGUGAGGUAACGGCUCACCAAGGCGACGAUGCGUAGCCGACCUGAGAGGGUGAUCGGCCACACUGGGACUGAGACACGGCCCAGACUCCUACGGGAGGCAGCAGUAGGGAAUCUUCCACAAUGGACGAAAGUCUGAUGGAGCAACGCCGCGUGAGCGAUGAAGGCCUUCGGGUCGUAAAGCUCUGUUGUUAGGGAAGAACAAGUGCGAGAGUAACUGCUCGCACCUUGACGGUACCUAACCAGAAAGCCACGGCUAACUACGUGCCAGCAGCCGCGGUAAUACGUAGGUGGCAAGCGUUGUCCGGAAUUAUUGGGCGUAAAGCGCGCGCAGGUGGUCCUUUAAGUCUGAUGUGAAAGCCCACGGCUCAACCCGUGGAGGGUCAUUGGAAACUGGGGGACUUGAGUGCAGAAGAGGAAAGU
rnacentral:rRNA from 1 species